rnacentral:rRNA from 1 species
GAUGAACGCUGGCGGCGUGCCUAAUACAUGCAAGUCGAACGAACAGACGAGGCGCUUGCUCCUCUGACGUUAGCGGCAGACGGGUGAGUCACACGUGGAUAACCUCCCUGUAAGACUGGUAUCACUUCGGAAAACCGGAGCUAAUCGCGGAUAAUCUAUUGCACCGCAUGGUUCAAUAGUGAAAGUCGGUUUUGCUGUCACUUCUCGCUGGUUCCGGGCCGCAUUAGCUAGUUGGUAAGGUAACGGCUUACCAAGGCAACCAUGCGUAGCCGACCUGAGAGGGUGAUAGGCGACACUGGAAGUGAGACACGGUCCAGACGCCUACGGGACGCAGCAGUAGGGAAUCGUACGCAAUGGGCGAAAGCCUGACGGAGCGACGCGGCGUGAGUGAUGAAGGUCUUCGGAGCGUAAAACUCUGUUAUGAGGGAAGAACAAAUGUGGAAGGAACUAUGCACGGCUUGACGGUACCUAAUCAGAAAGCCACGGCUAACUACGUG